AUUGAACGCUGGCGGCAGGCCUAACACAUGCAAGUCGAGCGAGCGGCGGACGGGUGAGUAAUGUAUGGGGAUCUGCCCGAUGGAGGGGGAUAACUACUGGAAACGGUGGCUAAUACCGCAUACUAUGGGCUGACCCCCUAUGGGCUUGGCGAGUAGGUGGGGGAAAGGCUCACCGAGGCGACGAUCCCUAGCUGGACUGAGAGGAGGACAAGCGACACUGGGACUGGAACACGGCCCAGAGUCCUACGGGAGGCAGCAGUGGGGAAUAGUGCACAAUGGGCGCAAGCCUGAUGCAGCCAUGCAGCGUGUGUGAAGAAGGCCUUAGGGUUGGAAAGUACGUUCAGCGGGGAGGCGUUACCCGCAGAAGAAGCACCGGCUAACUCCGUGCCAGCAGCCGCGGUAAUAC
rnacentral:rRNA from 1 species